CGGUUUGAUAAGUUGGAUGUCAAAGGCAAUGGCUCAACCAUUGUACGCAUCCAAAACUGUCAGGCUUGAGUGCAGGAGAGGAGAGUGGAAUUCCAUGUGUAGCGGUGAAAUGCGUAGAUAUAUGGAGGAACACCAGUGGCGAAGGCGGCUCUCUGGCCUGUAACUGACGCUGAGGCUCGAAAGCGUGGGGAGCGAACAGGAUUAGAUACCCUGGUAGUCCACGCCGUAAACGAUGAGUGCUAAGUGUUGGAGGGUUUCCACCCUUCAGUGCUGCAGCAAACGCAUUAAGCACUCCGCCUGGGGAGUACGACCGCAAGGUUGAAACUCAAAGGAAUUGACGGGGGCCCGCACAAGCGGUGGAGCAUGUGGUUUAAUUCGAAGCAACGCGAAGAACCUUACCAGGUCUUGACAUCCUUCUGACCGCACUAGAGAUAGUGUUUCUCUUCGGAGCAGAAGUGACAGGUGGUGCAUGGUUGUCGUCAGCUCGUGUCGUGAGAUGCUGGGUUAAGUCCCGCAACGAGCGCAACCCUUAUGUUUAGUUACCAUCAUUGAGUUGGGGACUCUAGACAGACUGCCGGUGACAAACCGGAGGAAGGUGGGGAUGACGUCAAAUCAUCAUGCCCCUUAUGACCUGGGCUACACACGUGCUACAAUGGGGAGUACAACGAGCAGCGAACUAGUGAUAGUAAGCGAAUCUCUGAAAGCUCCUCUCAGUUCGGAUUGUAGGCUGCAACUCGCCUACAUGAAGCCGGAAUCGCUAGUAAUCGCGGAUCAGCACGCCGCGGUGAAUACGUUCCCGGGCCUUGUACACACCGCCCGUCACACCACGAGAGUUUGUAACACCCGAAGUCGGUGAGGUAACCUUUUAGGAGCCAGCCGCCG
rnacentral:rRNA from 1 species